AGAAUCAACGCUGGCGGCGUGCCUAACACAUGCAAGUCGCACGAGAAAGGGUAGCAAUACCUGAGUAAAGUGGCGCACGGGUGAGUAACACGUGACUAACCUACCCUUGAGUGGGGAAUAACCUAGGGAAACCUGGGCUAAUACCGCAUAACACCUACGGGUCAAAGGAGCAAUUCGCUUAAGGAGGGGGUCGCGGCAGAUUAGCUAGUUGGCGGGGGUAAUGGCCCACCAAGGCAGUGAUCU
rnacentral:rRNA from 1 species